rnacentral:rRNA from 1 species
AGCUAAAUGUUGUAAGUAAGUAAAAAUUAUGAAAGCAAAAAAUUAUGGCGGUAUUUUAAGCUUUUCAGAGGAAUUUGCUCUUUGAUGGAUAAAACACCUAAAUCUUACUUAAAUUUGUUAAUUCAAUUUGUAUACCACUAUAAAAACAAUUUAUAACUUUAAUUGUUUAAAUUUAUUAAAUUAAAAUAUAUUAAGUCAAGGUGCAGUAAAAAUUUAAGAAUGAAGUGAAUUACAUUACUCUUUAGAGAAACAAAUUUAAAAUAAUACUUAGGAUUUGAAAGUAAAAUUAAAAUAUAAUGUUGGUUUGAAUUAAGCUCUAAAAUAUGUACAUAUCGCCCGUCACU